CAAGGGAUAGUUUAUAAAAAUAUUAGUCUUGGAUACUAAAGAUGUUAACUAAUUGCUGCCUUGA
rnacentral:tRNA from 1 species